UAUUGNGCANGGGGGGAAACCUGACGCAGCGACGCCGCGUUGCGGGAAGAAGGCCUUCGGGUCGUAAACCGCUGUCAGGAGGGAAGAAACUGUUAGGGUAUAAUACGCCCUUUCACUGACGGUACCUCCAAAGGAAGCACCGGCUAACUCCGUGCCAGCAGCCGCGGUAAUACGGAGGGUGCGAGCGUUAAUCGGAAUCACUGGGCGUAAAGCGCACGUAGGCGGCGCAUCAAGUCAGGCGUGAAAGCCCUCGGCUCAACCGGGGAAUUGCGUUUGAAACUGGUGCGCUGGAGUCUCGGAGAGGUUGGCGGAAUUCCAGGUGUAGGAGUGAAAUCCGUAGAUAUCUGGAGGAACACCGGUGGCGAAGGCGGCCAACUGGACGAGAACUGACGCUGAGGUGCGAAAGCGUGGGUAGCAAACAGGAUUAGAUACCCUGGUAGUCCACGCUGUAAACGAUGGAUAUUAGGUGUCGGGGGUUACCUUCGGUGCCGCAGUUAACGCGUUAAAUAUCCCGCCUGGGGAGUACGGUCGCAAGGCUGAAACUCAAAGGAAUUUGACGGG
rnacentral:rRNA from 1 species